UACAGAGGUGGCAAGCGUUGUUCGGAAUUACUGGGCGUAAAGGGCGCGUAGGCGGUCUUGUCAGUCCCUUGUGAAAUCCCCCGGCUCAACUGGGGAACUGCAAGGGAAACAGCAGGGCUUGAGUUCGGGAGAGGGAAGCGGAAUUCCGGGUGUAGCGGUGAAAUGCGUAGAUAUCCGGAGGAACACCGGUGGCGAAGGUGGCUUCCUGGACCGACACUGACGCUGAGGCGCGAAAGCUAGGGGAGCAAACGGG
rnacentral:rRNA from 1 species